rnacentral:rRNA from 1 species
UUAGAUACCCUAUUAUACCAGUAAAAACCUGAAUCAUUAAUAGAUAUAUUCUUUAAAUUUGAAGAAUUUGGCGGUAAUUUAGUCUUGUUAGAGGAACCUGUUUUUGAAUCGAUAAACCACGUUAAAUCUUGCUUGUUUUAUUAGUUUAUAUACCGUCAUUAUCAGAUGAUUUUCAAAGAAGUAAUCAUUAAAAUUUAGUAGUUAAAUUGAUAAAUUAAAUUAGAUCAAGGUGUAGCCUAUAAACAAGCUAAAAUGGGUUACAAUAAAAUGUAUUUAUUAUGAAUUAGUCGUAGGAAGAGUACUAUGAAGGUGAAUUUAAUUGUAAUAGGAGUUUAAUAAGCUCAUGUGAUAUAAGCUCUAAAUUAUGUACAUAUCGCCCGUC